rnacentral:rRNA from 1 species
UAGGGAAUCUUCGGCAAUGGACGAAAGUCUGACCGAGCAACGCCGCGUGAGUGAAGAAGGUUUUCGGAUCGUAAAACUCUGUUGUUAGAGAAGAACAAGGACGUUAGUAACUGAACGUCCCCUGACGGUAUCUAACCAGAAAGCCACGGCUAACUACGUGCCAGCAGCCGCGGUAAUACGUAGGUGGCAAGCGUUGUCCGGAUUUAUUGGGCGUAAAGCGAGCGCAGGCGGUUUCUUAAGUCUGAUGUGAAAGCCCCCGGCUCAACCGGGGAGGGUCAUUGGAAACUGGGAGACUUGAGUGCAGAAGAGGAGAGUGGAAUUCCAUGUGUAGCGGUGAAAUGCGUAGAUAUAUGGAGGAAAACCAGUGGCGAAGGCGGCUCUCUGGUCUGUAACUGACGAUGAGGCUCGAAAGCGUGGGGAGCAAACAGG